ACGCGGGAGUGGGACAGAAAUGAUAUUUUUACAAAAUUUAUUUCGUUGUCCCACCCCAACUUGCACAUUAUUGUAAGCUGACUUUCCGCCAGCUUCUAUGUUGGGGCCCCGCCAACUUGCACAUUAUUGUAAGCUGACUUUUCGUCAGCUUCUGUGUUGGGGCCCCUGACUAGAGUUGAAAAAAGCUUGUUGCAAGCGCAUUUUCAUUCAGUCAACUACUGCCAAUAUAAUAUUAUAGACCCUAGGACAUUGAUUUAU
rnacentral:ncRNA from 1 species